rnacentral:rRNA from 1 species
UACGAAAGGAGCAGGUGUUAUUCAAAUUAACUGGGCGUAAAGGGCACGUAGGUGGUUUGUUAUGUGUAUUAUAAAAUUAUAAAGCACAACUUUGUAACGUAGUAUAAACAACUAAACUUGGAGUUAGGUAGAGGGUAGUAGAAUUUCUAAUGUAAAGGUGAAAUUUGAUAAAAUUAGAGAGAAUACCAAUAGCGUAAGCAACUACCUGGACCUUAACUGACACUGAGGUGCGAAGGUAUGGGGAGCAAAUAGG